rnacentral:rRNA from 1 species
UGACGGUAAUCAAUUAGAAAGUCACGGCUAACUACGUGCCAGCAGCCGCGGUAAUACGUUGGUGGCAAGCGUUGUCCGGAUUUAUUGGGCGUAAAGCGAGUGCAGGCGGCUCGAUAAGUCUGAUGUGAAAGCCUUCGGCUCAACCGGAGAAUUGCAUCAGAAACUGUCGAGCUUGAGUACAGAAGAGGAGAGUGGAACUCCAUGUGUAGCGGUGAAAUGCGUAGAUAUAUGGAAGAACACCGGUGGCGAAGGCGGCUCUCUGGUCUGUUACUGACGCUGAGGCUCGAAAGCAUGGGUAGCGAACAGGAUUAGAUACCCUGGUAGUCCAUGCCGUAAACGAUGAGUGCUAAGUGUUGGGAUGUUUCCGCCUCUCAGUGCUGCAGCUAACGCAUUAAGCACUCCGCCUGGGGAGUACGACCCCAAGGUUGAAACUCAAUGGAAUUGACGGGGGCCCGCACAAGCGGUGGAGCAUGUGGUUUAAUUCGAAGCAACGCGAAGAACCUUACCAGGUCUUGA